rnacentral:lncRNA from 1 species
GGAGGAUAUGCUCAAACCACCUCCCAAACCCUGUACCAGAUGGCAAAGACCAGAUCUGUCUCUGGAGUUCACUUUGCCCAUGUAGUUACUUUGCAGACCUUGGAAUCUUGGAAGAGCCUGUGAGUGCAACUGAGUGCCUUUACACAGAAAGAACCCUUGAGGAGCAGCAGAUUGUGACCCCUGUUCCAACAGACCUGGACUCUGCCAUCUGUGUCCUGUGUCAGGUAUUUAUGACUCAGCCACUAGAAAG